CUUAAUUACUCAUGUAGUUCGCUCUGGAUAAGAGCGUCUGCUAAAUGACUAAAA
rfam:Salmo salar isolate Sally breed double haploid chromosome ssa18, whole genome shotgun sequence.